AAACAACUAACUGGAUUACUUCCUUCUCAAUUGCUUUUCCAGUGGGAAGCAGAAAUAUACUUAUUUGCAUUUCCCAAAAUUAUGAUUGCCGAGACGAAUGGGAUAGAAGCUGGACAUGCUUGAUAACACAAGCAGGGAGGAGGUAAAUCCAUAAAGGUAUCC